UAACACAACAAAGACUAAUAAUGGCAAUCAAGUGUGUCUGGGUUCUUUUUUGAGAGAAGAGUGAUCUUUCUUUCAAAAUAAAGCAAUAUCUGCUAGCCUUAAUUUUAUUUAGGCUAGUUAAAGAUUACUCUGAAAUGUAACAUCUCAGCUAAUGAAAACUUUGAGUUAAGUUUAACUUAUAGCUAGCUAGCUAGCUAGCUUAGCUAUAUUUCGAAAAGAAUAGUAUUUUAGUUUUUAUGAGUUUAAGCAUCUCUACAGAGGUAUAGCUAAGGCCUUUAGUUAGAAUACUAUGAUUUUUAUGUAGUUAUUUGUAGUGUAUAUGUGUGUCUUCCUAGCUAUUAUGCAAAAGUCAAAGAAAAGGCAUGCUAGAAGGAAACUCUAGCGUGAUACAGAAAGGUUGUUUAGAGAGUUCAGUAGUGAUAGUAAUGAUGAGCCUAUGCCUGCAGUCGAAACAGCAGAAAUUGCUAUUAGAAGUGAUAAAUCAGAUUUAGGUAGUGCUGACUGUAGUUUUGUGUCAGAUCUUGAAAGUGCAGAGUCGUCAUCAAGUUCCUCUAUGUCAAUGGAUGACGUAGAUGUGAUUGGUGAAGAUGGUAAAAAACAGUGUCCUCUCUGUCAAUGGAUGACGUAGAUGUGAUUGGUGAAGAUGUUAAAAAACAGUGUGAGUUGCAAUUUAAUUUAGCUACAUGGGCAGUUAAGUGCAACUGCUCUAGAGAAUGCAUUAAUAAACUAUUGUGUUUACUGAGAAAUAGUGGUCUGUCAGAACUUCCGAAAGAUUCACGGACACAACUGAGAACACCAAGAACAGUACAGACUACCACAAAGUGUGGAGUGACCUUUGGGUAUGUGGGCAUAGAAAAAGGAAUCAAUAAAGCUUUUUCUUUUCUGUCUUUGGACGCUGAUGCCAUUACAUUAGUUGUUCAUUGAUGGUUUGCCUUUGUCGAAAUCCUUCAGUUCUCAGCUGUGGCCAAUAUUUGGUUACAUUAAUAACAGUAAUCAUGUAUUUCCUAUUGUUAUUUUUCAUGCCUAUGCUAAACCAAAUUCACCUGCAGAUUAUCUGUCAGAAUUUAUUGUUGAGGCAAAAACCCUGUUGCAAGAUGUUGUCAGAAUAGAAAAUAAGCUAUACUAAUUUAAUCUUCAAGCGAUAAUUUGUGACGCUCCUGCUCGUUCUUUACUCAAAUGUAUUAUGGGUCAUACUGGUUAUCAUUCCUGUGAACGCUGUAAAAUUAAAGGACAAUAUUUACAAAACCGCAUUGUGUUCAACGAUUUUGGAGCAGAUGAACGAAGAAAAGAUCAAGAGUACCAAUCCUUAAGUUACCAACAUUCUCAUCAAAAAAAUGAAAUUUCACCCCUCACUGAGUUAAAUUUGGAUAUGAUCAACACUUUCCUCUUAAUUAUACGCAUCUAGUGUUGCUUGGCGUGGUUGAACGUUUGCUAAACUUUUUAACUAAAGGACCACCAUUAUGUCAAAUAUCAAAUAUGAAAUCAACUGAAAAAUUGCUUCUGUUUCAUGGAAAAAUGCCAUCUGAAUUUAAUAGAAAGCCUCGUUCGCUUGCAGGGCUACCAGACUGGAAAGCCUCUGAGUUUCGCCAGUUCUUUCUGUACCAUGGUCCUUUUGUUUUAAAGGGUAUUAUGUCUAAUGAUGUUUAUAGCCACUUCCUUGCCUUAAAUAUUGCAAUGCGUGUUUUAUUAUCUGAUGGCAUUGAAAAUCAGCCAGAUUUAGUUGACUAUGCCAAAGAUUUACUAAUUUGGUUUGUUAACUGCUGUAAAGAUAUCUAUGGUAGUUCGUUUGCAGUCUACAAUGUGCAUUCACUGAUCCAUUUAAUGAUGAUGUAAAAAAUUUAUCAUGUUCAUUAAAUGAAAUACCUGCAUUUCAAUCCUGUUGCUCAAAUAAUGAAACGUGUUGGCGGAAUUAAUUCUAAUGUUUCGGUUUUAUCAAAUAAGCCACAAAAUUCUGGAUUUCAAUGCGUCAAUGGGAAUAUUUGCAAAGUAAGGGAAGUGCUUGAUAAUGAAAUGUUACUAUGUGAUGUUUACAAAGCAAAAACUUGUGAUCCUCUUUAUUCAAUUCCAAUUGAUUCAAGAACGAUAGACCUUGUGUACAUCAAAGAUUCCAAUGAAAGAAAAACUGUAAAAGAUGUGAAACUUUGUGACUUAAAAAAAAAGUUGUGAUGUUGCCAUUUAAGGAAUGUAUAGUUCUUUACCCAUUGUUGCAUGAAAUUGAAAAAAAAAGUUUUAAUAUUUUAUUAUACUUGUAUAAUAUAUACAUAUAUAUAUACUAGAGCCUGCUUGCAUAAUUUAGCUUACCAUAAUGUAUAUACAUGUUCCUCAUUUAAUCACCAAGUCCUUCAAUAAACUAUGUUAAUGUUGUGUGUUGUGUCUUGAAAGUGUUGCAACAGUGUACAGUCAAUAAGUUAAGUUAAGAAUAUGCCGAUAUUAUUUAUAGUUUGUUGAGGUAGAAUAUUUAUCACAAUUAUGAAACAAAUGGAUUGUUACGACUAAAGUAUUAGAUUUUGAAUGAAAUAGUUUUUGAUUAGUGAGUAAUUAUGUUAUGUUGUCUGCAUUUUCAUAAACUGCAGUGUAUAAAUUUGGUGUCUUGAAAGUGUUAAAUAUAACAGUGGAAAAUAUGUAGAUAUUAGUUAUUAGUCUGUUGACAUAGGAUAUUUAACCCAAAUAACAAAAAAAAAAUGAUGUUUGAUAAUUUCUAGUCAUUUUUUCAGUCAGAUAGUAAAAAGUUAACUGACAGGCUUUAUUCAUAGAUUACUUAGCUUAGAAUGAGUUACAGCUGUAUUGAAUAUUUGGAAAAUGGUGAAAAGCAAAUGUCAACUGUGCCAUCAAAUUGGGUGAUUGACAAUAUUUUGUACUGGCCAAAGUCAAUUAACAACUACAGGUUUUAUAAAACACGGACUGAACCGUCUCAAGAUUGGCAGCAAAUACCUGUGUCGAAAAUUUUAUUCACUGGUAUGUAUAGAUUUUAAUACAAUUUCCCACAUUGUAAGUGUUGUUGAAUUCUAUGUUAAUAAGUUAGUGUUUGAUUGGAUACUAGAUAAUACAGAUGGUAUUAUAAGUAUCAAUAUAAGAACCUAAACCUUAAGUCCCAGGGACAUGAACAUUUUGAAAACACAGUAUUGUUUUAUAAAAUACUUACUGAGUGCUAAUUAUUAAAAAGUAUUUUCAUUAAAUUAGGUGAAGAAGAUCAUUGUCAAAACAUAGGGAGUAGUGAAAAUGACAUUGUAUUUAAAAAAGGUAUAAAUUUCUAGAAUUAUAUUUUUCGAAAUUUCCAAAAAACAAAAAGCAUAUCAUUUUUUUUUUUGUAUAAUAUUAUUAAUUUUGUUUAGUGGAAAAGAAAAAGUCUUCAAAGUUGGCAUCGGCCAUCAAUUUGUAUUUGAAUGAAAGGUACGAAGGCAAAAAUUUGUCAUUUCUGUUUUUAAACAAAUCAUUAUCUACGAUUGUAAAGGAGCAGAAAUUAUUAUUACAGAGUCCUCUUAUGUACAACUUUAAUAUUUCAUAAAAUAGGCUGCCAUCAUUACCAGACUCUCCACCUCCACCACCACCACCACAAUUGUCAUCACCACCAAGUAUUUCACUGAAAAGAAAGUUUAUACAAUCCAGGAACUCUGCUAGUCAAUUAGAUACUCAUAGUGAUGUUGAAUCAACACCAUGCAGCGAAAAGACGGAUGAAGUAGCAAGAAUAGAUAGAUUGGAAGACAUAUAAAAACAGUAAUAGACAGACAAUCGAAAAUAAUGAAGAUGUUAGUUAAGCUGGACUAAAUGAAGUCGAAAAUAUUACGGAAGAAGAAAAGGAAACGAUGGUAUUAAAACUUCAAAUUUUUUGCUGUAAAAUUAAAAAAUGCUCCCAGCGCCAAAGAUGGAGUGGGUCGGAAAAACAAUUAGUGUACAUUUGUAUAGUUAUUUAUUUACUAAUUAGUACCCAGAUGUUUAAACACCGUUUUAGAUUUAUUUCAUCGGAUUAGCUAUA